UACAGAGGGUGCAAGCGUUAAUCGGAAUCACUGGGCUUAAAGCGUUCGUAGGCGGGCUUGCAGGCGCGUUGUGAAAGCCCCCGGCUCAACCGGGGAACUGCUUCGCGAACCGCAAGUCUUGAGUCAAGUAGGGCGGUCGGAACGAUAGGUGGAGCGGUGAAAUGCGUAGAUAUCUAUCGGAACGCCAAAGGUGAAGACAGGCCGCUGGGCUUGUACUGACGCUGAGGAACGAAAGCGUGGGGAGCAAACGGG
rnacentral:rRNA from 1 species